rnacentral:rRNA from 1 species
GACGAACGCUGGCGGCAGGCCUAACACAUGCAAGUCGAACGCACUCUUCGGAGUGAGUGGCAGACGGGUGAGUAACGCGUGGGAAUCUACCCAGUACUACGGAAUAACUCAGGGAAACUUGUGCUAAUACCGUAUACGCCCUCCGGGGGAAAGAUUUAUCGGUAUUGGAUGGGCCCGCGUUGGAUUAGUUGUUGGUGAGGUAACGGCUCACCAAGGCUACGAUCCAUAGCUGGUCUGAGAGGAUGAUCAGCCACACUGGGACUGAGACACGGCCCAGACUCCUACGGGAGGCAGCAGGUGGGGAAUAUUGGACAAGUACGGGGGAAACCCUGAUCCAGCCAUGCCGCGUGGGCGACGAAGGUCUUCGGAUCGUAAAGUCCCUUUUCUGGGGGAAGAGGCAGGACGGUACCCCAGGAAUAAGUCUCGGCUAACUACGUG